rnacentral:rRNA from 1 species
UGGAAGUAAAAGUCGUAACAAGGUCUCCGUUGGUGAACCAGCGGAGGGAUCAUUACCGAGUUCUUACAGAACCCAACCCUGUGUGAUAAGUUCUCACCCGAACUUUUCCACUACAGGUCUCGGUCCACGGGCAGGCAGCGCCGGCCGCGGUGGACUUCGAGGCACCUGUAGGAAACCCAAACCUCUGUAUCAUUAACACAAAUAUCUGAGCGACUUUACAUAAAGAGUCAAAACUUUCAACAACGGAUCUCUUGGUUCUGGCAUCGAUGAAGAACGCAGCGAAAUGCGAUACGUAAUGUGAAUUGCAGAAUUCAGUGAAUCAUCGAAUCUUUGAACGCACAUUGCGCCCGCCAGUAUUCUGGCGGGCAUGCCUGUCCGAGCGUCAUUUCAACCCAUCAAGCCCAGCGCUUGUGUUGGAGCCCUGCGGCCGCCGCAGGCUCCCAAAAUUAGUGGCGGGCUCGCUAUCACGCUGAGUGCAGUAGUAUUCUUCUCACUCCUGCGGUGUAGCGGGUAACCAGCCGUAAAACCCUUUUACCUAAAGUUGACCUCGGAUCAGGUAGGAAUACCCGCUGAACUUAAGCAUAUCAAUAAGCGGAGGAA